GACGUGGGGGGCCAGCGUUGCUCGGAAUUACUGGGUGUAAAGGGUUCGUAGGCGGUGUAGCAAGUCGGGAGUGAAAUCUCUGGGCUCAACCCAGAGACUGCUUCCGAAACUGCUGUGCUUGAGUGUGGGAGAGGCGCGUGGAAUUGCAGGUGUAGCGGUGAAAUGCGUAGAUAUUCGCAAGAACACCAGUGGCGAAGGCGGCUCACUGGCCCGGUACUGACGCUGAGGUGCGAAAGCGUGGGGAGCAAACAG
rnacentral:rRNA from 1 species